GGUCGGUGAUGAUCAGUAAAAGGUCUGAUUGCUCCAGGACACGUCCCCAGCACCUUCGCUCCCAGAAGCCCUCGUGCCUUUCCCAUGCUGCUCUAGCUGUGCUGUGAUGGCAGCCGGGGGGCUUCUGACAAUAACUGAUGCAGCUGCUUCGGUCCAUGAUUCAGAGAGAGAUUUGGAGCAUGUUCACAGCGGCAUCUGACAAGAGCUGUCACUCAGGGGCACCGGGUGCUGGGAGCCGAGUUAUAUCUGGCGCAUGACUUAAAGUUUUCAAGCUGAGACC
ensembl:scaRNA